rnacentral:lncRNA from 1 species
ACCUCAUCUUGUGCUCUGGAAGCCUCCUGCAGGCAGUCCUCAGCUGGCCCGCUUAUCCUGAUGGUAGGAAGAAAGCUUAGCAGCAAGUCAAGGGAAAUCAGAGACACCUUGUCUGAACCAAAAAGAGCUCGCUUGAGACUGGGACUGCUGAAUUUGUUAUUUAUUGAUUUAUUCACUGAGCAUGCAUGUAAUAGGUGUCUGCUGUCAGGCCGGACAAGGACACACAGAGGCCUGUUGCAGAAGGAGUGCACAGAGGGUGAGCAAGCAAACAAAGCUCCUGGGAGGACAAUGGCCAAGAGGAAGGAGGAAACAGAAAGUGGGCGGAGCCUUGCAGGAGAUCCCCUGUGUGUGAGUCAUGCUUAGGAGUCUGUAGCUCUGCAUGUGGCUGCUUGUCAAGGUGACCAUAGCACUGAACAAGAUUGGCCGCAAACAGCAGGAGUCCUUAGAAUCUGAGUCCAGAUCACUGGGAAGAUUAGCCCUGAGCUAACAUCUGAUGCUAAUCCUCCUCUUUUUGCUGAGGAAGACUGGCCCUGAGCUAACAUCCAUGCCCAUCUUCAUUCUCUUUAUAUGUGGGAUGCCUACCACAGCAUGGCUGGCCAAGCAGUGCCAUGUCCGCACUCGGGAUCUGAACCGGUGAACCCCAGGCUGCCAAAGUGGAACAUUCGCACUUAACCGCUCCACCACUGGGCUGGCCUCUCAAAAAUUUUUGUUAAAUAAAAUAUUCCUUGUGAUGUCAAUUGAUUGAAUCUCUAAUUAACAAGUGUUGUAAAUUUGAUGCAGCAUAAAUUUAUGCCAAUAAAACAUCAAUUUGUGGUUUUAUAUUUUG